CUUUUUCUAACCCUCCUCUUAUGUUUAUAUUAUUAUUGAUUUAUAUUACUUAUAUGUUUAUGUUUAACAUAGUUAUGUUAAUUAAUAUUUUAUCUAUACACAAAUCACCAAAUUUUCCAACAAACUAAAGUCAUGUUGGUGAUUUUCUUGUAAAUUAAAUAUCGUGUGAUCAUCAAAUUUAAAAGGCAUUUUCUUGAUUUAUUGUAUGUGACUGCAUUAUAUGUUUACUAAAAUUAUUAAUCUUAUUAUCUGAAUGAUAAUGAAUAUGUUUUUUUUUAUGGGUUUUAAUUGUUUAUCUUAAAUAUUAUACUUGAGUAAGAAAAUCAGAUUUUUAAAUGUGUUUGAUUUUACUGGUAAUUGUUUUGGCGUUUUGUAACAUUAUUUGAUUUCUUCAGUUAAAUGAUAUUUGUAUAAAAUUUAAGCAGAUUAUUAAUGAUUUGCCUUAUAUUCAUUUGCAUGGAAGGAAAUUCAAUACGUAUGAUAAUAGAUAUAGACAAAUUCCAAAUGCGUAUAAAAAGCAUUAAGAAUUUCUUGUUAAUUGAAGAGGAUAGUCAUGCAGUGAUAGCAUCGCUAGGAAGGAAUGAAAAGGACUUAAUAAGGAAUUUCUUAUUAGGGCACGUAGCACGUCACUUGGAUCUUUUCUUUCAAAUAUGUAUCAACAUAUCUUUUAACUUGCCCUAAGUAAUAGUUUCACUAGCUAUAUAAUAAUGUAAAGUUCAUAUUUUAUGUUGUGAAAAUAAAAAUAAAAAUAAAAAUACAGCAUAUAAAAACUUUUAGGGCAGAUUGACAAAUGAUUGUAGGAUGCAAUUUUUCCUAAAUUGCAGAUUAGACGAAAUCUGCUAAAGCAUCCUGCCUGAUUCUCUUUGCUUUUGUAAUGACAUGACGAUAUCAUGCUAGAUUUAAGUCGAAGAGUUAUGGAUAAGAAACGGUGCAUUGGCCUCGACUCUUUUUAGUUCUAAGUCUUAUUUGCCAAAUUAUGACGAGAGUUGGCCUAGUUGAUAAGGUAUUAUUUAUAUGGUGUAAGAAAGAAAAUGAGGUACAUUAACUUACAAAAGAAACAACAUAGUGCAUGUAUUAAUUGACAUGCCUUCAAGGUUUUCUAUAUGGGCUCUCCAAAGUAACUCCUAUGAGUAAUAGUGAUUUAUUCUAGAUUUGUAACUCUUAUAUUGGUAUUAUUGUGUUAAAAAUUUUAUUUUGGUUGCUUGAUUAAUUAUAUGUAUUGACUAAAAGAAAAGGGAAGACAAGAUCAAAUACUAGAAACUUCCUAUUAUUUCUAAUUGAUCUAGUGAAUUAUGAUGAAAUAUAAACUCAAUGCUAUUAACAUUGUUGCUAAACUAAGUACAUUGUAGAUGAAGUUUUGAUGUUUUAUACUAAUUUUAUUUAUCAAAUUAGUUUUAAUCAUACAAUGGUAAAACAGACAAAUAAAUAAAUAAAAAAAAUAGUGAAGUGAUCUAUCAUCUAAUGCCAAUUAUAUUACUCGAAAAACUUUGAAUGUUUCUGUAACAGUACACAAAACUGUAAUUAAGCCUUGCAACUUAUAUCUAGCUUUGAUGUUUAUAAUGAGCUUUUGUAUAAUUUGAUCAUAUCUGCUAAAAUUACAAUUUCUAUAAGAAUAAGAGUAAACAUAAGUCUAAAUCUAAAGCUAAAGCUAAAGGAAAAGAAAGCUCUUCAAGACGGAUAUCCUUGAAAUCUGGGGGGUAUUAAA
rnacentral:lncRNA from 1 species